rnacentral:rRNA from 1 species
UACGUAGGGUGCAAGCGUUAAUCGGAAUUACUGGGCGUAAAGCGUGCGCAGGCGGUUUUGUAAGACUGUCGUGAAAUCCCCGGGCUUAACCUGGGAAUGGCAUUGGUGACUGCCCGGCUAGAGUGUGUCAGAGGGGGGUAGAAUUCCACGUGUAGCAGUGAAAUGCGUAGAGAUGUGGAGGAAUACCGAUGGCGAAGGCAGCCCCCUGGGAUAACACGUGACGCUCAGGCACGAAAGCGUGGGGAGCAAACAGG